rnacentral:rRNA from 1 species
UAAGACAGAGGGUGCGAACGUUGUUCGGAAUUACUGGGCGUAAAGCGCGUGUAGGCUGCUCGGAAAGUCGGAUGUGAAAGCCCUGGGCUCAACCCAGGAAGUGCAUUCGAAACUUCCAAGCUCGAGUCCUGGAGAGGAAAGCGGAAUUCUCGGUGUAGAGGUGAAAUUCGUAGAUAUCGAGAGGAACACCGGUGGCGAAGGCGGCUUUCUGGACAGUGACUGACGCUGAGACGCGAAAGCGUGGGGAGCAAACAGGAUUAGAUACCCUGGUAGUCCACGCCGUAAACGAUGGGUGCUAGGUGUCGCAGGCUUUGACCCCUGCGGUGCCGUAGCUAACGCAUUAAGCACCCCGCCUGGGGAGUACGGCCGCAAGGCUA